CGCGGUUCUCUUCAUGUAGAAAGCAUAUGUAUGAUUACUAUUAUACCCUUCCCCUUGUGGAUUGUGCCCCCAAUCUUGUGGUUCAUGAUCAUGGUAAUAUCCGUACCCGUAAGGUGGUGGUGCUUCUUCGUCAUCUUCUUCAAUAUCGUGCUCUUCCUCUUCGAUGUGGAUGUGACCCGAAGAAGAAGAGCGCAAUUCGGAAUCUGAAUCGGACAGGUGUAUGUGUGACCCACCGUCGAUCUCGUCGCUCCCGGAAGCAUCGCCGCCAUGCGAAAUGGAAGUUGAAGAAGUUGAGGCCCUGAUUUUGUUUUUGGUUUUGGUUUUUGUAUUUUUAGAGGGUUUUCCUUGGUCGGAGGGCAAUGUGAGGACUGGGGAGCUGAGAGAGGAGGGGGAGGAGCCGGUGACGGAGGCGGAGGCGGUGGCGAAGACGAGGUCGUGGUCGGCGAAUUUACGUAGCGCUUCGCCGAUGUCUCUGAGGGAGUGGAAAUAGGCGACGUGAGCAGCGGCGAGGGCGUAGCGGUGGUCGGAAGCGGCUCUGAGGAAGUCCCGUCGUUCUCUGCAGAGAGUGACGAGUGGGAGGUGGUCCACCUUGGAGCCUCCGCAUCCCAUGUUCGUCACGGCAGAAGCAGGGUCAUGAUGGUCAUUCCACCAUUGAGACAAAGAAAGAAGAAGGAGUGGUGUUUGUUUGUGUUGAUGAGUUUCGUACUGUUCAGUGUUUCAGUCAGCUCUGCAUUCUUUUAGAGAUCAAAAGCUAACAAACCACAAGAAUCUAACAAGAAUGCUAUGAAACAAAGAACGUCUAGAAUCACAUUGAUACCUUUGAAUGGAGCAACCCUGGACCGAUAAGGUGGCUUGCAAGCCUCAAGAAGAAGUGCAACCUCCUUCCCAACAUUAGAGGCAGUCUCAAACUCAUCCCUGAUUUCCUGAACAACCUCUUUUAAAUCCCUGGUUCCAUGAGGAGACAAAGUGGUCAAGCUACUCACUUUUGAAGAAGAAUCACCCCCAUCAACUGCCGAGACGGUUGCUUCUACCUCAAAAGUCACCCCUUUCUUCCUUCCUAACCGCUCCCCAUCCUCCUCCUCCUCCUCAGGGGAGCUCCUAGAAACAAUGGUGUCAGGGCUGCUGCUAGUCUUAAUCUCCUUCUCAUGAAGGGAACCAGAACCACCACCACUAUCAUCACUACUUCCAUGGAACCUCACGGUCUUAUUGGAACUCCCCUCACCAUUUUUCCUUUGUUGUUUUCGUUGUUGGGGCAUUGAUACUGGCACUGCCUUUGAAUUUGAGGUACCUUCUCCAAAAUCCCUCUCCCUAAAAUGUUGUUUUUGUUGUUGGUGGUUUUGCAUUGGUGGUGCUUUUUCCUCAUUCAAUAUCUUCUUCUUCUCCUUCUCCCUGUGGUUCUGGAGAACCUCCUUCAGCACUUCUUGCUCAGUCUCAUCUUCCAAUUCUGGAAUCCNNNNNNNNNNNNNNNNNNNNNNNNNNNNNNNNNNNNNNNNNNNNNNNNNNNNNNNNNNNNNNNNNNNNNNNNNNNNNNNNUCCCCUGAGAAGAUAGAUAACCCGAGUAACCAUUGUCAUAACUAUCAAACACAUUCAAAAAAUCCCAUGCUGAAACCCUCGGCGGAGAUGGGGGUGCCGGAGGCGGCGGAGGCGCCGCCGGCGAAGCUGUCCUCUGUUGACCGUAGUAAGAAUACUCCGCCCCCGGAGGCGGCGGAGAAGAACCGCUCGGAAACCCAAAAUAACCACCAGCACCACCAUUGUAACCAAACCCGUAUCCACCAUAACUAUUUUGCGGGUCGGGCCAUUGACCCGACUCUGCAACACGGGUCUGUGGCUCUUCGUAGAUCAUGGAUCUUCCAGGAGGCGCGGUUCUCUUCAUGUAGAAAGCAUAUGUAUGAUUACUAUUAUACCCUUCCCCUUGUGGAUUGUGCCCCCAAUCUUGUGGUUCAUGAUCAUGGUAAUAUCCGUACCCGUAAGGUGGUGGUGCUUCUUCGUCAUCUUCUUCAAUAUCGUGCUCUUCCUCUUCGAUGUGGAUGUGACCCGAAGAAGAAGAGCGCAAUUCGGAAUCUGAAUCGGACAGGUGUAUGUGUGACCCACCGUCGAUCUCGUCGCUCCCGGAAGCAUCGCCGCCAUGCGAAAUGGAAGUUGAAGAAGUUGAGGCCCUGAUUUUGUUUUUGGUUUUGGUUUUUGUAUUUUUAGAGGGUUUUCCUUGGUCGGAGGGCAAUGUGA
rnacentral:lncRNA from 1 species